CAUGCUUCCAAGAGGACAGCUGUUCCCAAGAGCCAUACAGUUCCUGUAAAUUUGUCCUUAUAUCUUGGCUUUGACAGCUCAGAGAAGAUGUCAAUGCUGGGAAAACGCAAUGCAUAUAAAAUCCAGAUGGAUAGCACAUGAUGCUGGAACCAGCCUGGCCAAUCAGCCAUGUCACUUUGAUUAGAGGAAACCUAUAAGCAUUUAAGCAAAAAUCCAAACCCAGCAAGAUAGUAAGAGUAGCAAACUGGCUUCACUCUGAGGUUUCAUCACAGCUCUGGCCUCCCCACACAUUACUGAAAGGUCCAGGGUCAGGACAUACUCAGGACAUCUCCCAGAAGCUCCAAAACAAAUUGCUUUUGGACUUUGAGACCAUGAAACCAGAGGGACCAAAUACAGUCCCUCAGAGCAGAAUGGAUAUUCCUCCUUCAUUGCUCAUAGUCCUAUUUGUCUCUCUUCUAAAGAAGUGAACACAUCUGCUGGGGGGUUGAAGGAGCCAGGAGUGUCUGAGGCAGCUCGAUGAAGCCCUAGGACUUGCUGGUGCUUUUUCGAUUUCCUAGUGGGCCAUUCAGAGUGGGAGAGAAGGAAAUAUCCUGCACCACUGCUCGCCUUUGGAAUAUAUUUGAAAAUACCUGCCAUGGAACACUGUGUCCCUGUUUGCUUUUCACACUAACAGUGGCCAGAGCUCAAGUUACAAGUAUAUCAAGUUGCCUCUAAGAACACCAAAGAAUAAAACUGUGAUGCUUCCAAGUGAAGCUAGACUUUCCAACAAACCUUGUAUAAUUCCUCACCUGCGAUAUUUCCGCAGCUUGGUAUUCUCCCCUCCAAAAAACCAUUAGAUUCUCUCAAUGGAUAAUGGAGAGCAAAGAUGUGCAUAUAUUCAGGUUGAAGUCAAGGAAUGAAAAUGAUCUACCAGGGACAAGUGUUUCCUCUGGUAGCAAUGUGCUAAAAAAGCAACAGCACUGGAAACUCUACCCCGAUGUCUAGAAUGGGCUGUCACUUGAUUAAGAGCUUAGGAGACUGCACAGAGCUGGCUGAAGUCUGUUGUCAUCCAACACAGAAAUCCUGGUCUCCCCUGAACACAGAAUUUGAAGGCUUUCCCAUUUUAAAACAAACACCUACACAACUCUGAUUUUUGAGUGUGUCCAGGUCAGGACAGGAGCAUCAGCCAGGUGGGACCUCAGCCUGCCAAGCUCUGUGUGCAGCCCCAGUGUCCACAAAGCACUGUAGAAUCGGCAUCAGCUCAGUCAGAAACCAUCUCGGACAAGAUUUUUCAUCAAAAAUCUAGCAAAUUCUAGCCUUUGCUGGUGAGAAAACCCUCUUUACUCCUUUUCCUCUCACCUGCACACACUGUUCAGGUGAGUCACGGUGCCUCAGGUUCAGUCUUCUCCAGGUACUUUAGUGAAACAUGCAGGGGGGUCUGCAGGUUUUCCAUGCUUCACUUCCAAAAUUUACUUCCAAAAAUGAAUUUGUCAAUUGUUCUGGAAUACUCUAUGCAACCAGAAGACACUGUCCUGCCCUUAUGAGAGCCUAUCCAAGGGAAGGGUUAAUAAACCAGUCCAAAUACUACUGAAUUCUAGCAAGAGUCCUCUCUUGAGUGCACUGUUGGGUCUUUUUAAAGGUGCAGUGUGAAAAAUUACUCCGA